GGGCGUAUGGCCAAAUGGUUAAGGCGCCUGACUACGAAUCAGGAGAUUACAGGUUCGAGUCCUGUUACGCUCG
rnacentral:tRNA from 1 species